GCACCAUCAAUCUUGGGCCGGUACAGUACGGUGGUGAAUACCUCAACGAUUAUACAUAUGCUAAUUAUCAUCAAGUUUGGGGGUAUCACCCGGAUUCGUCAUGGAGCUAUACUUAUGAAGACCAAUACUACGCUCCAAAUCCAACAUAUCCAUCAAAUUUCUCAAAUCCACCUCCAAUGCAACAAGAAGACAAUUCAGAUUUCAAGGAAUUCAUGUUAAGGAUUAUA
rnacentral:lncRNA from 1 species